GACGAACGCUGGCGGCGUGCCUAAUACAUGCAAGUAGAACGCUGAAGAGAGGAGCUUGCUCUUCUUGGAAGAGUUGCGAACGGGUGAGUAACGCGUAGGUAACCUGCCUUGUAGCGGGGGAUAACUAUCGGAAACGAUAGCUAAUACCGCAUAACAAUGGGUGACCCAUGUCAUUCAUUUGAAAGGGGCAACUGCUCCACUACAAGAUGGACCUGCGUUGUAUUAGCUAGUAGGUGAGGUAACGGCUCACCUAGGCGACGAUACAUAGCCGACCUGAGAGGGUGAUCGGCCACACUGGGACUGAGACACGGCCCAGACUCCUACGGGAGGCAGCAGUAGGGAAUCUUCGGCAAUGGGGGCAACCCUGACCGAGCAACGCCGCGUGAGUGAAGAAGGUUUUCGGAUCGUAAAGCUCUGUUGUAAGUCAAGAACGAGUGUGAGAGUGGAAAGUUCACACUGUGACGGUAGCUUACCAGAAAGGGACGGCUAACUACGUGCCAGCAGCCGCGGUAAUACGUAGGUCCCGAGCGUUGUCCGGAUUUAUUGGGCGUAAAGCGAGCGCAGGCGGUUUGAUAAGUCUGAAGUUAAAGGCUGUGGCUCAACCAUAGUUCGCUUUGGAAACUGUCAAACUUGAGUGCAGAAGGGGAGAGUGGAAUUCCAUGUGUAGCGGUGAAAUGCGUAGAUAUAUGGAGGAACACCGGUGGCGAAAGCGGCUCUCUGGUCUGUAACUGACGCUGAGGCUCGAAAGCGUGGGGAGCGAACAGG
rnacentral:rRNA from 1 species